UUAGCUUAAUUCCGCGGCCGCUUUCCCAGGUACCCCGGACGCGACCUCGGUAGCUGCAGCUGCGGGCCCGGAAAAAGAUGGGAGGGAGUGUCCCUGUCCUUUCCUACGAGUAUUUCACCUGGACAGAACUGUAGGGCGCAUUCCCAGCCCGCAUGCACAUUGAGAUUGGAGCCUUGAGCGUUUCAGCGCUCGUCAUGCCGGCACUGCCUCUGUAGCCAUGGGAACGCGUGCGCGUCUCCUGCUCUGGGAGUGUCCCCUGAGUCUCAGGAGGCACGCGUCAAUCCAGGACAUCGGCGAUCGACACUUUUUACUUGCGCCCAGGCCGCAUGCGCUUCUUGCAGUACCAUCGAUUAAUUCGGAGUUCAGCGGAUCAAGGUGUUAUUCCAGGCGCAUGCGUACUUGCUUUCCCCGUCGAAGGGCAAACUCUAUGCACCACCUCUUCCAGACUACGCAUGCGCAUUCAUGGCGGCUCAUCGAUGUUUUCGUCGCAUGACUGCGAGCCUGGCCCGUGAAGCUCAUGCUCACUGGGUUACCUCUAGCUGGUCUUAACGUCAGGGCCGCUUUCCCCAACACUGGUUUCACGGCCCGUGUGGCUGUGUUUCCCAGCUGGGAGACACGGAGGGUGGGGUACACCGCCAGGAGAAUUGAUCCUAGUAGGAACUGUCGGGCACAUUUGCAGUCUGCAUGCAUACUUAGAGUCGGGCCCCGACGGUUUCGGAGUUAGUCAUCACUGUCCCUGUAACUAUGGGAACGCGUCCAUAACUCCUGCUCUGGCACAGCCUCCUGAUUCUCAGGACGCACGCGCCAAUUCGGAAUAUUGACCAUCGAUAGCUCUUGCCUGCUCCCAUUGAGCAUGCGCCAGUUUCAGUGACAUCGAUAAACUCAGUAUUCAGCUGAUCAGCGUGCCACAGCCCCGCGCAUGCGUACUUGCUUUGCCCAGUGACGGGAAAUGCAAAGGCCCACCUUUUCCCAAGUGCGCAUGCGUAUUCAUGGCUGUUCAUCGAUAUUGUCGUCGCGCAACUGGGAUCCCGCCCCGUGCAGCGCAUGCGUGCUGGGCCUACCCCGUGAUUCCUCAACGCCACUUCCGGUUUAGCGUACAGUGUCGCCACGCCCCUGCAGCUGCGGGCCCGGAGUGAGCGGGGAGGGGGUAUCCCUGCCUUUCCCUUCCCCUGAGUAUUGGUUUGGCUGGGAGGAGCGCCGGGAGCUGUAGUGCUCAUUUCCAGUGAGCCUCGAUUAAUUUCGGCGAUCGUCCUCUUGUUAGUGCCUGUGUAACCAUGGAAACCCAUUAAUAAUUUCGAAGCGAGGCAACGGUCCCUCAUUCCCAGAACGCAUGCGCAAAUGGUUUCACGAACACAAUCAGCGCAUGCGUACUUGUGUUGCCCAUUGAUGGGUAGGCGUGAUGCAUGACGUCCCGAAUUGCGCGUGCCUGGCUAUGACGUCUCGGUGCUGCACAUGCGCACUGGCUCUCCCCCGGGAAUGUUUGAAUAGCGAACACGCGAAUGUUGCAGUGGGAGGGACGUCCUUGUCGCCUUGGGGGGGGGGUUGUACCCUUUCCCGGAUGCGGCCAGGCCCGGGCUGUGGGGACUGCGGGCACGGGGCAGGCGUGGCGUGGCGUGGCAAUCCCGGCGGGGAGCUUGGACCCUUUCCGUGCAGUGCGGGCUGGGAAUGGCCGGGGGUUCGCGGUGGUGCUGGGGGAGUGCGGUGGGGCCUGGGGACGUGUUUCUGUUAAUGUGUGGGAAUGUGAUUGUUUUUUGGGGAAGAAAACUGGUAAUUGUGUGUGGUGCCUUGUUUUUUGGAAAUAUGGUGGUUUUGCAUGAAAAACUGGUGAUCUGGGUUUGUGGAACUGUUUGUGGAAAUGUGGGUGGACAUAUUGUCACUACCUGUGUAGAAAAUUGUGUGGUAAUUUUCAGGUCAUUUGGGACCUGUUUUGUGGGACUGUCUUGUGGGACCUGUGGAAACUGUGUGGCAAUUGGGCUCCUCCUCGUGCACCCGUCCUUGGAGCCGGUGUGGCAGCGAGGAGCCGCAGCGUGACAGAAGCGGGACUUGGGGCAGAAGCACCCCCAGGAGCUGUCAUGUUUGCAAGGGGCACUGGGCACUCAGAUGGGUGUGCGGGGCCUGCAACGGUCCCUUGGAAACAGGUAGGGCACCAUGAGCGACAGGUACGCUCAGUGAACAGAACGCAGCAGCAGUUGCCUGGGCUUCUGCCAUUCCCAUGCCCUGCUCCCACCGUAAUGCCACCAGUGAUUGCAGCUCUUUCCUCUAACUUAGAGGUAGGCUGCGCUGCCCCGCUGUCUGCCCUGAGGUGCAUGCGCAGUCGCCACCAGCAUGGAGCUGAUGCCGAAGCUGUGGAGCCCGGCGCAGCUGUUUGCAGCCUGCCCGCUGCCUGCUGCAGCUGCCCAGAGCUCAGGCUGGCUACAAACAGCUGUGCUGAGCUCCCGAGCCCAGUCACCAGCUCUGUGCUGGGAGCAGGGGAGAGACCAGGGUUGUGCUGCCUCAGGCCCCACCCCCACCGCCCGCUCUGAUGCACGGGUGAAAGCGCCGGUAUAGAGCUCAUGCCUGGGCUCUGGAGCCUGGCACAGCUGUUUGGAACCUUUUGGCCGCAGCCGGCCCUGGCUCUGAGUAACCGCUGCCAGCCACAGAGCCCGGACUGCUCCCAGCGGGCAAUUGGGACGCUGCAAGCCCUGCUGGGAGCAGCCCAGGCUCCAGCAGCUACCCGGUGCCCAGGCUGGCUGUGGCGUGCCAAGCAAAAUGGCCUUGCGCGCCAUAGUUGGCAUGUGUGCUGAGGGUUUCUGCCCCCUGCUCUAACUGCUCAUAGCACCCUGCAAAAAGCAACUACCUGCCCCUUGGCUUGCUGGAUCCUGGGGGCCCAGACCCCACAGACUUUGUAUUCACUUUUCCUGCGUGCGGGUGAGGUGUGGAGCUCCUUGAUCUCUGCAAGCUUCAGGCCUUGUUAGCCACCCACCCUUAUGUGCUCAACAACCAGCCCCUAUGACUGUCCUACCUGACAGCCUCUGUUACCCUCUCCUAGUUUCAUCCUUCCUCUCAAGGCUUCCCACGAAAUUCCUUGUCACGUUCCAGUCUGCAGCAGGGCUGCACCACUGUUUCCCAGCUUCUUUUUGUAGGGAAGCUGGGGGAGAAUGCUUCCUUGACCCCCUGCUCUUUGCUUCUGUCAGCUUUAAGCUAUUUAUCUGUUUCAGUUCCCCUUUUCCCUUCUCUGCUGCCUGUGCUGCCAUUGUCUCCUGUCUGUGCUGGGCUUUGGUUUAACCCAGGGGUGGACAGGUAUUUGGGCCUCAGGGACGUAUAAACAGCUCCGGGGAGCUGCAGCGGGCUGGUCAGUGCCCCCGCACCGUGAAUAGUUAGGAGUCUGUGCUCCCUAUUUCUUCUCCCUGCCACUGACAAUACUCUACAUUCCCAGCCCUGACCCUGGCCUGCCCUGUGCCCACUUGAGCCUCACCCUGGCCAGGGUGGACCAGCCCGAACCUGUGUGCACAUACCUGACCACAGCCCUCCUUGCACCUGUUUCGGACCACCUGCCCAUGCUGAGGAGUGGUAGCAGCAGGACAGGAGCUGCUACUCCAACGUAGGAGAAAUGUGGCCACUGCUCACCCUGGCCAAGCCCUUCUUGUUGCAGCUGCCUGGAGUUCCCACCUGGGUUGCCCUGCAGCUCCUCACUGCUGCCUCUGGGCUGCCCAGCAGGGCAGCGGUGGCAGUGCAGUGGAACCACAGGACAGUCUGGGCAUGGGCUUUGAGCAGCUGCAGCAAGAAGGUGCUGGGAGCUGAGAAGUGUGUGGGGCCACUGUUCCCUCAUGCUGAGCAGCAGCUUCUGCUUUGCUAUUGCUGCUAGUGCUGUUGCUCACCGUGGGUGGAGAAGUCUGGAGCAGGGGUGGGGCUGUACGUGCUGUUUCUGGCUUGUCCAUGGAUGGCCCUGUUCACUGAGCUCAGAGCAGGAGCGGGUUAGACGGGCUUGGAGCUGUGUUGGAGCUAGAGAGGCAGUUCAGCUGCAGCCCUGCUGCCUCGCCAGGGGAUGGCGGGAUGAGCCAGGGCCUGGAUGGCGUCUGGGUCAGGUUGGACCGAGGGACCCUCUGCAGGCCAAACAGUCCCUCCACAGGCCAGAUCUGGCCUCCAAGCUAUAUUUUGCCUACCUCUGGCAUAAUGGGAUGUAUGUGUUACACCAAGAAUGACUCUGGAGAAGUACAAGAGAACCAAAGCAAGUACUUCCAUAAAAUGUACACCAGAUUAUUGCGACAUUACUAAUCGGGCACUUUUGCCAAGAGCAGCUACUUACAGCAGAGAAUACAGACACAAACUCAGAAUGGGGGUGGCCAGGUGCCAGGGCCUCUCGCAAUACAUCCUUCAGGUUUGAGGCCAGUUCCACAAUCGCACAUCUUUGCCUUUUUAUGGGGGUUUUAUAAAAUUCAGGUUGAAAUUCUGUAUUCCAGCCCAUUUCUCUGAGGUUGGGAUCUCUUGGCCCUUUGAGUAGAGAGCAGGGAAACUGAGUCAUGGUCUGGGACCAUUGUUCUUUCCUGAAGUUGCCUCCUGAGCAGUGGGUGUCAUUAUUGGGCUAUACAUCCCUACUCCAUUGAAACUUUUCUGCCAAGCUCCUCUUGGUGUUGUUAGACUGAGCUGCUUCUGGGAUCAGAGUAUCUGGAGGGAGGAGUAACCUUGUGGAAUGUAGCAUAGCAAAAAAGAGGUUCUUGCCAUGGGCUGCGACAGACUUUAGCAGUCACAGGCACUUUAGCAGUCACAGAAUAUGGUUCUGCAUUGAGGAGCCUUGUUUGACACCUAAGGAUAAUCAUUUAAGAUAAUUAUUCCCAUAUAUUGCUUCUGAGAGUAGGAAUGGGGGAGGAAUGUAUUCAUUUUUUCUGCUUUUAGCUACUAGCAGGGUAUUUUUAACUGAGGAUGUCCUUAGCUGAUCUGAGCAUAUCCAGUGCCACAUUUGUGCACAUUGCUGCUGGGCACUGGCAACACUUGGAGUUUAGAAGAUAACCCUCCUUUAUACAGUUUCAGCUGUGUGCGAUGGGACUCCUUAAAUAGAGGGGUUUUUAAUCAUUGAGGCACAUUAGAAAGAACCUGGUAAUGUUCAGUCUUUUGAGAGACAAGACUAUGGCCCCUUUAUGGUCGGGACCGUUUUGCAAGCUUAGAGCCAGAAUUCUUGGAAAGUAGCAAUUAUUUUAUUUAUUACUGGAGUUCCUGGUUUUCUCUGUUAAAAAAAUUGCCAAUUCUCUGAUUAAAACCCUCCAAAUUAUAACCUGCCUUUUCCUGUUACAACAAUUAAAUGCUGCUUGUGCCCCUCAGUCCCCCCCACCCCCAUGCUUACCAGCCCUGCUGGUGCCCUUCGUCCUGCCAGCCAUGUCAGAGAGAGGCCCGAGCUGCCAGGCCUAUGCCCCCCACCCCUGGGAGGAGCCUGCGGCUGCUGCAGCAGAGCAGAGCACUGAGCCUGGUUCCCGCCUGUUCCCUGCCUGCUGUGGGAUUGGGCAGGGGGUGAGGCCAGCUCCCCGCUCCUGUGUGCACUCCUGGGGUGCAGAGGGGACUCCUGCCCGUCAGAUCUGUGCUUGGGGUGGGCAUGGGCUGCUGCCCUGCUACCCUCCCCUGGGGCCCCUGCAGCCUGGCGGGUGAAACCUGGCAUGGUAGGGAACAGCAGAGCCACACAGGGAAGCUGCUUGACACUACGACCAGGGCAGGCACCCUGGGGCUGGAGCGGCGCUUGCAGCCUGGAGACGGGCCAGGAACAAAGCCGGCUCCGUCCCGCCCUCCUGGGCCUUCGACCUGCGCGGAGCAGCCGGGCUUUAAAGCCAGAGAAAAGAAAAACCUGCCGCGUGCUACUCCCUAGGGUUCAAACCGGGCUUUGCAGCCGCGAGGUAAGGGCAGAGAGAGCGGCUCCGGCCCCGCAGCUGUAGCGCAGGCAGGCGGGAGAUGAAGGCAGAGAGAGAAGAAAGAGACAAGGCCCCGCUGGCUCAGGCAGUCGCUAGAGCAGCGACCGGAGCCUUGCGUUCCCGCCGGGCGCUUGGGCCGUGCAGCUAUUGGGUGGAAGGGUUGUAUGUGCCUAGUCAGUGACAGCCCGCCUUGCUUCGGUCUGAUUGGCCUCUGCUGAAAGAGGCGGGUCUAGGAGCUCUUUGAUUGGCUGUCAGGGACUAGUGAGAGGGGCGGGGUCCCUGCUCUGCGUGCCGAUUGGUCCGACUGCGAUGCCUAGGGGAGCUUUUCAAGUGGCCGGCGCGGGGGUGUGCCGAGGGUCACGGGGUGGGCUAGCGCGGCCCGGCCUGACCCAGGGUGCGGCCCCCUUUGGUCGAACCCCCGUGCCCUGCUUCCGCUCCCAUGUGGCUCUGUUCUGAGCUAUAUCGUUGCUAGCUAUAUUUGCACGGACUUUCCCAUUUUUUUUUAAUAGAAAAGGGAAGAAAAGCCCGCGGUUGUUUAGUAAACACUGCAAGACCUCACUUUGGUUCCAACGCGGAGUCUCGUAUUCUUGGUGUAAAAUAAAAAAACAUGGAGGAGGGGGGAUUGAAGUGGCAGUGGUCUUCAUUGCGUAGUUACUUUGAUGAACUUGAAACUGUACAGAGAUGCGUCUAAUAAUUAUGUGUGUACAAGAUGUGCACAUAAUGUGUGUGCAGAAUCCGUGCCAUAAGAUACAUAGAGAUCCUACUGCCUUGUCUCUCUCUUUCUGAAAUGAGGGAAAUCGCUUUAGGUAUUCAAAUACCACGACAGUUUCAUCUGAAUAUAUAUGUAUAUGGACAAGUACUAGAUGUCUCUAGUGGGUUAUGGAAUAGGGAAAAUCCCACACAAUUUACUGAUUCGUUUUGAUGCACUGGCUGGGGGAGUAGUUAACUGAUUGCAGGAUUUCACAAUGAUUACACACUUAAUUUAUACAACACAAUUUUAUUUUAAAACUCUUUGCUACAUAUAUAACACUGCUUAGCUUUAAGAAACACCACAAACAUUAAAACACAAUAAUUACAUAUAUCAGAAACAAUGCUCCGAAGGCACUUCCUUCCCAAACAAUACUAUAAGAAUUAGUGUUACAAAAACAACUACAAUUACAACUAAAAGUUAAAUGUGAAUCAAUACUAUUAUUUUUCAUGUUAUACUUACAAUCUUAGAAUUCCGAGAAGCCAAAUACCAAAAUAUGGUUUCAUUCCUCAGUAGUACGAUUUAAUGGGUUGGCCUCAGUAGUACGGUUCAAUGAAAUAGGCUCAGCAAUACAAUUCAAUAGGCUGGCCUCAGCAGUGAUAGGACUAAGUCCCCUUCCUUCCGUCCCUUUCAGGUGCUCCGCAGCUUCAGCGUGAACUAAGAGAUUCGUGUUCACGGAGAGGGUGGUUCAGGUGAUCAGUCUGAUCCGGGCUACACUUGUGAUUCUUCCUUUGUUCUGCAAGUGAAGUCACCUCCAAAUUGGGACAGUAAGCUACAGUUUUUAUUGAGCGAGCUGCUGUCAAUGGGCUCCUCCUACUCAACCUGUUAUUACCCCCAAAUUUGGGCUCGGAUCUUACUCAACAGAUUCUUUUGCCUUUGUUGAGCAUUUUAAAUUACCUUUGGGAAACUUCCAUAUCACUACAACUGCCCUUUCUUACCAAUCUGGUCAAAAGGCCUUAGGGUUUGAUCUCUCGGAGUUCAGGAUAUUUGCUCUCUUUGUAAAAGGCUUCUGAAGAUAAAAUUCAAAUUAAGACUUUAAGCAAAGUCAGGACUUUUUGCACGUAGUCCCAAAACAAUGACUUAGAUAAGGAGAUAAAUCUUAUCUUCUUCCUGAAACUGGCUAAUGGGCAACCUUUACAAACAUGCAAACUAUUUCAUUCAAUAUGACACUAGAUACAUAAGGGGCGUGUCCGGCAUCCAUCCCUAGAGUAUUACAAGAAUCGCCUCAGUGCUGCCCUCCUGUGGCUCGCCCUGCGCAUUGCAGCCAGGACACAAGGGCGGAGAAGAAGGGAAAGGGUGUGAGCCGCCGACGCGUAUUUCUACCGGGGCUUCGCGGCCCGGGGACCCUGACACGUCACAAAAUGGGCCCAGUGCCGCGGUCCGGAGCUUCGCACUGGGCACGGCAGCCAGGAAAAUCAGCCGGAGCAAUAAAAACAGGGCUGGUGUUGCCGUCCCGUGCUGCAGAGCGGCAUUGCAGUCGGGCGACAAGGGCGGAGACAGAGGCUCGCUGCCGGUGGGCUUGGAUCUUGCAGCACGCAGAUAAAGCCAGAUAGAGAAGAGGAAAAAAGGCCUCGCUCACUUCGUGAGUAAAUAGAGCAGUGACCGCGGCCGGGGCGGACACACGAUUUACGGGGCUUUGAUUGUGGGCCGGGAGUGCAGCAGGGCCGGGAUCGGAGGCUCGAGUUUUCAUUGGCCACUUGGCGGAGUGACGGCAUUGGGUGGAGUGGCCGAAUGGGCGGGUUCACGGCCGCUCCGCCCUUCUUCACUCUGAUUGGUUUUUCCAGGAGAGGGCGGGCACAGAGGCCUUACCCCCACCCGGUUCGCAUUCUGAUUGGCUGCUCGGGAACUGUGGGUGGUGUGCAAGUUUCUACGUGCCGAUUGGUUCGACUCCGAUCCUCAGCGGCCCCGCUCAGCUGCUUGUCUGUCCGCUGCCGGGUCCACUGCAGGCCCGGACACCCGACCGGUCCCGCAGCGGUGCGUCUGGCUGUUCUGGCAACCGCGGCGGGGCGUGCGGGAGACGGCGUUCCCCACGGCACGGGGCCUUCAGGCCCUCCGGUGGUCCCCUCCGGGCCUGGACGCACCACGUUAAGGGCGGAGAAAAAUCCCUGCUCAGAGGCGCCCUCCUGUGGCCGCGCUGGGCAUUGCCGCCUGCAGACCCGGGGAGGAACCCAAGCCGUUCCGCGCUCCCCGCGUGGGGGCAGGAGCGGGGCCUGGAGCCUGGCGAUAAGUACCAGGAACAGAGCCGGCUCCGUGCCGCCUCCCCUGCGCUUCAGCUUCUGCGUAGUAGCCACGAUUAAAUACAGAGAAAAUAAAAGCCUGCUCUGUGCUACUUCCCUGCGGUUCAAUCUGGUCUUUGCAAUGAAGAGAUGAGGGCACAGAGAGAGAGAGAAAGCGGCUCCCGCCGCUCACCUGUAGCUCAGGCAGGCGGGAAAUAAAGGCAGAGACAGAAGAAAAAGGGCCUCGCUCGGGGCGUAACUAGAGCCGUGACCGCAGGCCGGGUUCGCGCUCCUCGGGGCAGACGCACGAUUUAGGGGACAUGGAUCCCCGGCCCGGGGCAGCACACAAGGGCCGGGAUCGGAGGCUCGGGUUUUCAUUGGCCAUCUGGAAGGAAGAGGCGAUUGGGUGCCUCAUGGGCGGGGUCAGGGCUCUGCUGCUCAUCUUCGCUCUGAUUGGCCUCUGCCGUUGGAGGCGGGCCAGGAAGCUCGCCCUCCUUGUCUGCAGUUCAUUGGCUGCCGGGGACUAUUGAGAGGGGUCAGCACUCUUCCGUGUGCCGAUUGGUCCGACUCCGAUGCACAGCGGCACCGGUCAGCUGUUUGUCUACCCACUGCCCAGUGCGCGGAGCCCACGUCCCGCUGCGGGCCCGGAGCGCUGCGGCAGCUGUUCUGGCAACCACGGCGGGUCGUGCGGGAGACUCCGUUCCUCACGGCACGGGGCCUGUCAGGCUCUCCUGAGGUUGGCGUUAGCAACACAUGCAGCACCGGAUUUCUCUUUUGCAGAGAUGAGAAAAGGAAAACCCGCAGUUGUUCACUAAACACUGCCAGGAAACCUUGAAAUCCUAGAGGUGACACUGCGCCCCUUGCUGUAAAAUAGUAUCAGGUGUCAGCAGGGGGCUGGUGUGACCUGCUCUUCCUUCUGUGCCAGAAGCCUCCUGAUUUCGCCUAUCGGGCUGUGCUCUGAGGUGUGUCGUCGCUGUCACGAUUUGCACGGAAAUUCACUUUUUUAAAGGCGCCUCCUCGUGCCCCGUCCUGGAGCCGGCAGUGACAGGAGCAGGACUUGGAAACAUCCAACGCUCCAUGGGUGAAGCUCCACCGCCAGCAGUGGAUUUAGAAAUUCAUUUAGAAAUGGGGGCGCAGACCGUGAGGUGCAGCAUCUCAUUGAAAACGACCCACAUUUUCUUCCAGGCUGCUCCUCGUGCCCCCGUCCUUGGAGCUGGUGUGUCAGUGAGGAGCUGCAGCCAGAAAGAAUUGGGGCAGAAGGGCUCCCAGGAGCUGUCAUUUCUGCAAGGGUCACUUCAGGCACUCAGACGGGUGUGCGGGGCCUGCAGCGCUCCCUUGCAAAAAGCCAAGGCGCCACGGGUGACAGGUGAGUGUGAUUCUGCUUUGACACGCUCACUAGACACUCAGCUUCUGCCUGGAUGCACAUCAUCCAUGUGUCCUACUCCUACAGUAACACCUCCAGUGACGGCAGCUCUUGCCUUUAACUGCUGGUAGCACCUUCCAAAAACAAUGACCUGCACGUUGGUUUGCAGGAUGCUGGGGGCCCAGAUCCUGCAGAUUUUGUAUUCUCCCUGCCUGUGCCUGGACCAGGUGUUGAGCACUUUGGUCUGUGCAAGCUUCGGCACUUGUUAGCCACACAGCCCCUGGGACCGUGUCCUACCUGACAGCCUUUGUCAGCCUCUCCUAGUCUCGUGCUUCCUCAGAAGGCUUCCAUGAGAUCCCUUGUCCCGUCCCAGUCUGCAGCAGGCCUGCACCACUGUUCUCCAGGUCCCUUUAGAGAGUUGUAGGGGAGGGGGGAGAAUGCUUCUUUGCCCCCUGCUCUUUGCUUCUGUCAGCUAUAAGCUGUUUAACUUUUUGUUUCCCUUUUCCCUCUUCUUGUCUAUGCUGCAACUGCCCGGCCCCUCUGCUUCCCCUGUAGCUGCACCAUUCUUGCUGCAGCUGCCUUGAGUCCACACCUGGGUUGCCCUAGGACUCCUCUCUGAUGCAUCACUUCUUCCCCUGGGCCAGGAGAUGAGGGCAAGUACCAAAACUGGCCCUGUGUCCUCCUGGCUUCAGGCCCUUCCAGCGGAGCCUGGAGGUAAAGGCAGGGAAGGGAGGGAAAGGCCUUUCAGUGCUGCCAACAUGUGACUAACGCUGAGCAUUGCAGCCAAGAGACAAAGGGCAGCAGGGAUCUGGGUUUUCCUCUUCCCACCGAAAAAUGAGACCACCUGUAUGUGUCCCUGGCAUUCCCUGCAGAAAUGGGUCAUCUGCUGGGCUGCAGAGGCCCUGGGGAAGGGCAGCAGGGUGGGAGCCCACAGCUGGCAGCCUGCUGCCCUCUAUGCACAGAUCUGGGGGCAUAGGUCCCUCCGUCCCUUGGAAGGAUGCGCAGCAGCAGGGAGCUGGCGCCCCCCAAGCUGAGCCCACAGCAGGCAGGCAGUGGGUGGGGGGUGCUGGGCUUUGCUCCACUGAAGGAGCUGCUGCCUCCUGCCGGGGGCAGGGAGCUGUGGGCCUGGGCCGUGUAGCCCUGGCAGUGGGGUGCUCCCUCUGGCAGGGCUGGGGAGGUGAGGAGGGUGUGUGGGGGAGUGAGGGGCCUUUCACUUUAAUCAUGGAUUUUGGGGGUUUUAUGAGAGAAUUAGCAGGGAGGUUUAUUUAUCGGAGAAUAAGCAAUUUUUUAUCAGAGAAAACCAGGAUCUCUGGUCAUUAGAGCAGCGUGUGUGAGGUGGGUGCCCACAGCGUUACGUGGUGUGGGCUGCACACACGCUCCCUGGGCACUGCUGUGAGGCAGGGUCCCGGUGUCAGCCCUCUGCCUGCUGUGGACAGCGGGAGCGCUCCAACAGCAGCCUGGCUCCAGCACUGUUUUUCAAUCUGGGCAUGCACGGCAGCUCUGAGUCUGUGUGUUUGGGUGGUCCCUGAGGGGGCCGGGGUGGAGCAAACUGAGGGCACUGUGCAUGGCCCUCGUGGCUGCCAGGCCGGCACUUGCCCAGUGGAGGCAGCUGUGCUGCGGGUGGGAUCCCCCGUGGGCACAUGCGGGGCGGGGCAUGGAGUGGCGUGCAGGGCAGGUGGGGGUUCUGUGCGCGGUGCCAUAACCUGGCCACUCCCUCCUCGAGCCUUGGAGCUGGUGCUUCUCUGUGCCACCUGCCCCCGGCCCUUCUACUCACCCCAUGAAUGAACAGUCACCGCUCUCCUGGGGUGGCCAGUGUAGCGAGGCUGCAUAGUGCAGCCGUGGCCAGCGCAGUGGCAGUGUGGGUGGGAAGGACCCGGCGCCAAAUGGACCCGCGGGGAGCGGGUGUUUCGGUAGUGUUGUGGGGGGUGUUUUAGCAAAUAGAAACCUAGGAUUCUGGACUAGCCUAGGGAUUGGCAUGACACCUCAUUGAAUGAGUGAUAGAAAGGCUUUAUUUACUACAAGUAUUCCAGGUCAAGUGAGGCCGAACCAAAGCAAAGUCCAGUAAUUAGUAAUAAGGUGAUGAUUUCUCACCAGACAGGUGUCUAUGAGGCGGUCUGUUUCUCUUCAGCUUCUCACAUAAGCUGGGCACGGCAGCAGUUGGUGUCACACAUUUCUCACUAUUGAAGCGCGCUGUUAGCUGUUUCACUGGCUGUGUUAUACCCUUAGUCCAGCAUCUUCAAAGCAUUCUUUUAGUUGUAGAAAUCAAGAGAGUCCCCAGCAGUGAUUGCCAGGAACAUCCUGUUAAUCAGCCUGCUCAUUGUUGGUACCAGAAAGUUCCAAUUGGACCGAAUGACCUUCCUCAGGAACAAGAGGUUAUUCAUUUCUAUGAAGUUUGGAACGUAGCUAGAAACUGAUUAACCACCAGGAAAAACCCACGUGUCCUUGGAAAAUGAGGUAAAUCAUGGAAAAACAACAGAGACAAAACUAAAUCGGGGGGAGACACCUGUCCCAAACGGAGAAUGUCUCUUCUUGCAGAUAAACACGAGUUAAUUGCAAAAGAAAUAUUUACCAUACUAAGUAAUCAAAGAUAGACAUUUUACAUAAUUACAUGAAAUCCCAUGUCCUGUCCCAGUCUGCAGCAGGCCUGCACCACUGUUUCCCAGCUUCCUUUAGGGAGUUGCAAAGGAGCGGAGAGAAUGCUUCCUUGUCCUCUGCUCUUUGCUUAUAUGAGUUUUAAGGUGUCUAUCUGUUUCAGUUCCGCCUUUCCCUCCUCCAUCUGUGCUCCCUGUGUCUUCUGUAUAUGCUGGACGUUGAUGUAAGCCAGGGGCUGGCAACUAUUUGGGCCUGUGGGCCACUGUGGUGGUUCUGGGGAGGUGCAGUUGGCUGGUCAGUGCUGCCCACCCUGAAUAGCCCAGAUCCCGUGUGCCCUGUGGUUCCUCCCCCUACUGCCAGCAGUGCACAGCCUGAGCCCCAACCCCAGCCCACUCUGCACCUGCUCUGGACUCUCCCUGGCCAGAGUGGACGAGCUGGAACUUGUGUGCAUAGCCCUCAAGGGAAUAGAAGGCUAAAUAUACAUCGUAAGAGCAACUUGUAAAAAAAAUACAGAACAGAUGUCCUGUACAUGACAAACACUUCCCUCACCAAACAUCCUAAGGUAUAGGGUGUUAAAAAGUCGGAACCAUUCAUUGAUUGUCUGGGGUUUGAAAAAUAAACCAUCACUUGUACAAGCUACUGCAAAUGUGCCCGAUUGAUAUUGAAAUACCCCAAGACAGGUUUAGUGACACCUCUAAGUAUCCAGUCUGGCUGCUCAGACCCAUCAGCUGUAAAUUGACCUACAAUUACAGGGUCUGCAGAGAUGCACAAGGUUUACACAUAGACAAUGCAAGAACAGGAGUCAGGCAAUUAAUCGUUAUGGUGUGAUGAUAAACAUCUUUUCCUCCCUGUUUGUUUGGACUCUAAUUGGCCAACUAUCAAGGAAAAAUGCUUUGAAGUUGUACAGUUUAAUAGUAUAAGAACAGAAUUUGCAAGGAAAGCAUGUGCUCCAGGAGAAGCCGAGAGAGAGAGAGCAGUGCUACAUCGCACCCAGCUUAACCAGCAAUGGAUCCUGCUUGGUCAAAGUUGCAAGAUGGGACCAGCAUCCUUCACUGGCAUUGUCCCCUGCAUCCUUGAGUACCCAGCAUGCUGCAUCGCUCUGCACCAGCAUCACUUCCACCAAGAAGAUUGAGAUAGACUGUACCAUCAUGCCUGAUGGUACUAUUGUGACCACUGUCACCACCAUUCAGUCCAGGCCCAAAGUGGACUGCAAGCUGGAUUCACCUUCAAGAUCUCUGUCCAAAGUCAAGGUGAUGGAGAAGACAGUGGUGCUUUCAGAGAGCAGCUGUCCCAGCAACACCUCACCCAGCAGCAUGUGCAUGUCCUUUGAUACCUGAGACCUUCCUUAGUAGCAAGAAGUUCCAUCUCUGGUGGCAAAAUAUAACUCAUUCUCUUGA